CUUGGUUAGGGUUUCUCCUUUCCCUCUAUAAAUAAGGUGGUGCCCAUCAAUCUUCUCAUUAAGGGUUUAGGGCCUUUGUUCACGGCGGCGGAUUAUCUACAUCUGCGAUGAAGAUACAAAUUCUAUGUUUGUAUUACUUAUACCCUAUUCUCGAUUCAUUAUGAUAUAUUUGUUCGAAGAUUCUUGUUCUCAUGAUGGAGCGAUAAACGAAGUGUAGGUUCCUUCCAAACAAAGUUUUCGUUUUGAAAUUUAUUGUUGGUUGAUCCUUUGAUUUUAUAAUAUUGGCUAUAAGGAUCUAGCACGGUGCACCCCGGGCUUUUCUGAGAUAUCCUGUGAAGGUGGAAGCCCCAAUGCUCGUGCUAAAUAUAGCUCCCGUUUAGUGUUGCAGUUCUGUAAGUUUUUACACGCACGAUCUGUGUCAAAGUGACGGCUAAAUUUAUUUUUCUGUUCUUACUUCCCUUGGAAUCUUCUGAUCAGAAACAAUUACAAUUUUGGUGAACAUCAUCAAAAGGUCAGCAAAUUCUUAUUGUUUUAUGAGUUUUUCCUCAUUGUUCUCUGAUUAAAAUUUUAUAUGGAAUAAAAAACCUGUGAUGAUAUAUCCACAUUAUAGAGGCGCAGAGAGCUCCAAGUUCCCGUUUUGUGGGGAGAACCUACUUGGAGCUGUUGCAUUCAAAUGACAUCUCUGGAAUUUCUGAGGCAUUACGUUGUUUCUUUUCCCCGAGCAAUAAAGUGGUUAUGUAUUUCAUGAUAUUUAUCAAAUAGAAUUCUCUUGCAAAUUUGUAUACUCAUUCUAUUCUAAAAACCAAACCAAAGAAAUAAUUGUCAGUGGUAUCAUAUUCAUUAAACGUAACAUUAAUGACUUUAUAAUUGGUGCUCUCAAAAAACUUAUUUGUGAAUUUGCUUGAUUUAGAUUAAUGUGAAUUAGUUGGUUUUGUCAACAAUUCCAUAGGAAUAUGGUUGUUAAACGCCAGCAAUUCUCAUGAUUCCAUGUAGGAUUUGUCUGCAAAAUGGAUUUGUAGUGGAACCAAGCCCCUGCUAACAGGGAGAGAACCUACUUGGGAAAGCUGCAUUUCCCGAGGCACAAUUCUGAUUUUUUUAAAUAAAUAUUAUCAACACAUGGCUAUGAUAAUGUUGAUGCUUUGUUCAUUUAUCAUGAAAGCUAUUUGUUUUUAAAAAUAUAUAUGCUUUCUAUAUCAUGAUACCAGUUAUAUUUUGACGAAAAAAUUGUGCAAUGUGUCUGUCUUUGAUUCCUUUGUAGUUUUGAUCCUUUUUAUAAAUUUUAUAUUUAUUUGGCUGUUCCUAGUGAUUCUAUCUCCAAAUUGAUGCUGACUGCUGUUCAUUAGUUCUAUUAUACAGAGCAAGUCUUCUUGGAAAAGAUAUUUUUGAUCCUAAACCGCUACUUGUUAAGGUCAUAUAUUUUGUUUAGCUGUAAAAUUGUUAUGUAAACUCUAAUUAUUCUGAAUAAUGUGUAUUUCGCAACAGAAAUGAAAGGGCUUUUACGGAAACUGAUGAGUUCAACUAUCCUUUGCUGCUUCUGGCAAUAGCUCUGAAGGCUGAAGAACUCACAAAUUUUGUGUUGCCAUCAGCUUCAACUCGUGAUCAUGAGUUGAAUUCACUUGUUGAGAUCCCAUGAAUCUGUUGAAACUCCAGAUUCAUACUAGAUCCAUGAUGAUUUAAUAAAGCCAAGCCUCAAGCCAAGCUAAACUCAAGGGUUCUCUGAGUAAGAACACUUUCAUAAUCACUUAUGAAAGUGACUAUGAAAGAAAAGGCCUGUGUUCUUUUGUUCUUUGUACAAAAGAUGCUGCACGGUGCACCCCGGGUAUCUCUGAGAGAUCCAUUGAAGAUGGAAACGCCAAUGCUCGUGCUAGAUUUAGCUGCCAUUCAGUGUUGCAGUUCUGUUGUUUUACUUAAUGCUGAGCUGUGUCAAUUAAAUAAAAAGCCUUUGAUGAUAUAUCCACAUUUUUGAGUUGCAGGUGGCGCAGAGUCCUUGUUUUUGCAGGGAGAACCUCUUGGAGUUCCUGCAUUUCAUAUGACUUUUCUGGAUUUUCUGAGGCCCUUUAUUACUUUCUCACUUUAAACACUAGCAAUCAAGUUUUCUUAUAAUAUUACUUUUUUCCCUGCGUAACCUCAUUGGAGCGCCUAAUAAAUAUAAUUAAUUAUUGUGUAAAAUCUCAUUUUGCCCUCUACCAUGGUUAAUUAUAUUUUUUGAACGUCAUUCUUAGUGUUUGAUUUUUGCUGUAAUGAUCCUUUUUAAUUCGUGCUCUUUGGUUUCUCUUAUUACACGUUAGUGACUGUUCUUGGGCUUGUUUAGGAAGUUUUACUCGAGUAAACUGUCAAAUUUAUUUUUGUAAACUCGUUUAUACGUGUAUUCUCGUCUACUUGUGGAGUUUUGUUAUAAAUAAUUAAAUGGAUAAAGGU